CCUACGGGGGGCAGCAGUCGAGAAUCAUUCACAAUGGGGGAAACCCUGAUGGUGCGACGCCGCGUGGGGGAAUGAAGGUCUUCGGAUUGUAAACCCCUGUCAUGUGGGAGCAAAUUAAAAAGAUAGUACCACAAGAGGAAGAGACGGCUAACUCUGUGCCAGCAGCCGCGGUAAUCAAGAGGUCUCAAGCGUUGUUCGGAAUCCCUGGGCGUAAAGCGUGCGUAGGCUGUUUCGUAAGUCGUGUGUGAAAGGCGCGGGCUCAACCCGCGGACGGCACAUGAUACUGCGAGACUAGAGUAAUGGAGGGGGAACCGGAAUUCUCGGUGUAGCAGUGAAAUGCGUAGAUAUCGAGAGGAACACUCGUGGCGAAGGCGGGUUCCUGGACAUUAACUGACGCUGAGGCACGAAGGCCAGGGGAGCGAAAGGGAUUAGAUACCCCAGUAGUC
rnacentral:rRNA from 1 species